UUCAAGUAGCCAAAAAGGUCCUGGCCUGCAGCACCAGAGUUUGUGGGCCGUUCCCACCUUGGAA
rnacentral:tRNA from 1 species